rnacentral:tRNA from 1 species
GGGCGCAUAGCUCAGGUGGUAGAGCAGCUGCCUUUUAAGCAGCGGGUCACAGGUUCGAGUCCUGUUGCGCCUACCA